rnacentral:rRNA from 1 species
UACGGGGGGGCAAGCGUUGUUCGGAAUUACUGGGCGUAAAGGGCUCGUAGGCGGCCAACUAAGUCAGACGUGAAAUCCCUCGGCUUAACCGGGGAACUGCGUCUGAUACUGGAUGGCUUGAGGUUGGGAGAGGGAUGCGGAAUUCCAGGUGUAGCGGUGAAAUGCGUAGAUAUCAGGAGGAACACCUAUUGCGAAGGCAGCUCGCUGGGACGUUACUGACGCUGAGACGCGAAAGCGUGGGGAGCAAACAGG